CCUACGGGAGGCAGCAGUGGGGAAUAUUGCACAAUGGGGGCAACCCUGAUGCAGCCAUGCCGCGUGUGUGAAGAAGGCCUUCGGGUUGUAAAGCACUUUCAGUGGUGAGGAAAAGUGUGUAGUUAAUACCUGCACACCGUGACGUAACCACAGAAGAGCC
rnacentral:rRNA from 1 species